CUUUAGUUGCCAUCAUUGAGUUGGGCACUCUAAGGAGACUGCCGGUGUCAAACCGGAGGAAGGUGGGGGAUGACGUCAAGUCCUCAUGGCCUUUAUGACCAGGGCUACACACGUACUACAAUGGCCGGUACAAAGGGCAGCGACACAGCGAUGUGAAGCGAAUCCCGAAAAGCCGGUCUCAGUCCGGAUUGGAGUCUGCAACUCGACUCCAUGAAGUUGGAAUCGCUAGUAAUCGCGGAUCAGCACGCCGCGGUGAAUACGUUCCCGGGCCUU
rnacentral:rRNA from 1 species